GUUGCCUCGAAACAGUCCUUUGGCAUGCCAAGCUCUAUGGCUACAUCCUCACACCCCAGGUGAGUUUGGCACUGUUGGAAGUAUGCAAUGGGGGCAGUACCUGCCCUGACCUCACUCCAUGUCUUGUGUCCCUGCCCAUAGACCUGCCUUGACCUGACCCUGGUUUAUGUGGGGAGCCCUGAGCAUGGCCAAGAGGUAGAGGUGUUCACUGCCCUCCCCCAGGAGGAAGGAGAGAUCCCUGGGAAUUCCAACAAAGGAGUCCAUCCUUUCUGAAGUGGACAUCAAGUGCUGCUCUGAAGUUGGGACUGUGACCUUUUAAUGGCAAAGUGGCAAGAACCUUACACUGCAGUCAAGGAGACCUGAAAUUCAUUUAGCAAGCUUUACGCAUCCCCUCUCCCAUCAGCUGAAAUGCAGCAUCCAACAUGGGAUGUCAUGACCCGAGCUGCCUCUGGCAAGGGGUGCUGUAGCUGGCUUAUGAGGGCAGAUAGAAUCAUCUGCCUCGGGGGCAGGUGAACAGCUGCGGUAAGGGAGUGGAUGAGACUAACUGUGCUAGGGGUGCUGUGGCUUUGGCUGCUACCUCAUCCUGUGCUUUUCUUCCUCUUUGGCAGGUGUCUCGCACAGCCUCAGAGGGGCACACUGCACACUGAAGAGCAGUGCAAGAAGGUGGGCUGGUUGUCAGCUAGGUUGGAGCAGAAUGGCUGAGUAGUGCAAGGUGAGAAGGGUUUCCCUCUUGCUUUGCAGGUGGCAUGACAGGCUCUCAACUGAUGUCGCUGAGGAUUUGAGGCGAGGCCAGAGAGCAGCAAGGAGCGGCACGUGCUGCAGCACUUCCAAGCACUGCGGUUGCUUUCUUUUUUGUUCACCAGGUGCUGCGGGUGGGAUGUGACAUCAGUCUUUAGAAUUGGUCUUUUAUAAUUGCCACAUAGCUUCUGGGAAGGGUGAUGUAGCAGAUAAAGUCUGCAUGGGACAGGGAACAAGGGAAAGCAUUUAGAUUUUGCAGGUUUUAGCUAACCCAGGGAGUAUGCUGUAUAUCAACCACAAGGACAGGACUGAGGCAGGGAGUAUGAGGAUGGGACAAUACUAAAAGGUAAGGGAAGAAAAGACUUCAUACACACAGAUAAUAAAACAAGCAAGAACUGGCUUGGACUGCUGAAAUCUGUAAUAGAAAGGAAGGGUCAGAAGUUUAGCAGUGAGGAAGACUUCUGGCCUUCAUCAAAAGACCACCAGAGUACACCGGACAACCACCCAAGGACUCUAGCGUGCAUGCAAAUAAGGGUGGGAACCUAUGUUAAUAAUUC